rnacentral:rRNA from 1 species
GACGAACGCUGGCGGCGUGCUUAACACAUGCAAGUCGAACGGAAAGGCCCUGCUUUUGUGGGGUGCUCGAGUGGCGAACGGGUGAGUAACACGUGAGUAACCUGCCCUUGACUUUGGGAUAACUUCAGGAAACUGGGGCUAAUAUCGGAUAGGAGCUCCUGCUGCAUGGUGGGGGAUGGAAAGUUUCGGCGGUUGGGGAUGGACUCGCGGCUUAUCAGCUUGUUGGUGGGGUAGUGGCUUACCAAGGCUUUGACGGGUAGCCGGCCUGGGAGGGUGACCGGCCACAUUGGGACUGAGAUACGGCCCAGACUCCUACGGGAGGCAGCAGUGGGGAAUAUUGCACAAUGGGCGGAAGCCUGAUGCAGCAACGCCGCGUGCGGGAUGACGGCCUUCGGGUUGUAAACCGCUUUCGCCUGUGACGAAGCGUGAGUGACGGUAAUGGGUAAAGAAGCACCGGCUAACUACGUG